GAUGAACGCUGGCGGCGUGCCUAAUACAUGCAAGUCGAGCGAACAGACGAGGAGCUUGCUCCUCUGACGUUAGCGGCGGACGGGUGAGUAACACGUGGAUAACCUACCUAUAAGACUGGGAUAACUUCGGGAAACCGGAGCCAAUACCGGAUAAUAUAUUGAACCGCAUGGUUCAAUAGUGAAAGACGGUUUUGCUGUCACUUUUAGACGGUUCCGCGCCGCAUUAGCUAGUUGGUAAGGUAACGGCUUACCAAGGCAACGAUGCGUAGCCGACCUGAGAGGGUGAUCGGCCACACUGGAACUGAGACACGGUCCAGACUCCUACGGGAGGCAGCAGUAGGGAAUCUUCCGCAAAGGGCGAAAGCCUGACGGAGCAACGCCGCGUGAGUGAUGAAGGUCUUCGGAUCGUAAAACUCUGUUAUUAGGGAAGAACAAAUGUGUAAGUAACUAUGCACGUCUUGACGGUACCUAAUCAGAAAGCCACGGCUAACUACGUG
rnacentral:rRNA from 1 species